AGGGAAAGCAAGAUUGACAGGAGUGACAGCUCCAUUUAUUGGCUGCUAGAGUCUAGUCAGCAAAAGGGCAUUCAGGGCCACCGGCUGGCUCUGCUGGCGGCCUGUGCAGUCGGCGCCUGUAAUGAAUGAAGCCCUGGAGUCAUAGUAAACAGCAUCUCUAGUACUUCAGGAAUUUUAUCCAACAUGGAGGAUGAAGAGAUUUCUCCUGGUCUUCACAUUUGGCCUCUGCCGACAGGAGCGUCAUGGUGGAUCCAGCAGGUUAACUGAGUCGUUUUGUUCACCCUGCUUUAAUGAGUUACAGGAUCCACUUUGUUCCAGCACAGAGCUGCUUCCCUCCUCUCAUCCCUGCAGAGGCCUCUCUUUUACAACCUCAGGUGCUUCUGGAUACACUUAGUGCUCACUCUACAUCACCUGGGAAUGCACGGGGUCAACCCUUUCCUGACCUCCCACUGGUAUCUGUGCUCACGCAGCCACACAAAGAAAGAACAAGAAAAACAAAGUGCCCUAUAAAGUCUCUCUUAUAAUGUGGGAGAAGUCAUUUCACAUCUUCAGGUUUUUCUAGUUUUGUUUUUGUUUUAUUUUAGACUACAUAUUUUUUUAGACAAAUGCAUUUUACGUGUGUUCAUAGGGCUUGUAAUUAAGAUAUUUUAAUGUUUUUUUCCCUAUCUCUAUUGUAUAAUAAAAAAUUCCCAUAAAUUUAUGAAAUGUAAUUAAUACAUUUUCUUACAGUAAAUUGACUACUAUGGUUGAGCUUGACUAAUGCAGUAAACUCUCCAAUAUGUGUAAAAAUUCAGAAAGUAAAAUAUUUACCUGCCCUCCGAAAGUGAUAGAUUACUUUUUGUCAAUAUAUAUAUAUUGUAAUGUUGUUUUCAUAAUAAUUUGUGUAUAAUUAAAAAGUAUU